rnacentral:rRNA from 1 species
AUACAGAGGGUGCAAGCGUUAAUCGGAAUUACUGGGCGUAAAGCGCGCGUAGGCGGUUUGUUAAGUUGGAUGUGAAAGCCCCGGGCUUAACCUGGGAGGGUCAUUCAAAACUGGCAGACUAGAGUGUGGUAGAGGGUAGUGGAAUUCCUAGUGUAGCGGUGAAAUGCGUAGAGAUUAGGAGGAACACCAGUGGCGAAGGCGACUGCCUGGACCAACACUGACGCUGAGGUGCGAAAGCGUGGGUAGCGAACAGGAUUAGAAACCCUUGUAGUCC